CAUUUGUGUUCACAUUCCUGAUUUCCCAAAUGUGCUUCGUAACCUCCUUCCUUCACUUCAAGGAUCUAUGUUAAAGUUUGGUGUCCAAAGAGUUUUCCUGGAGGUGAAGUCUUGGGCUACUGUUUGUGGAAUUUGAACAAGUUUCCUGGGAGAUUGUUUACCUACCAUCAUCUAGAAUGGAACCCAAGUCCAGAGCCAUUUUCAAAUGUCAUCCCUUUCUAGUUAUGGCAAAUAAGAAACCAAGAAACACAACAGGAUUUUGUCCUCUAGGCAAGAAAAAAAAAGAAGACAAGGGAAAGACAAAGGAAGGAAAUAGAAGGAAAGGACAAAGAAGGAAAGUCUACUCUGAAUCUUGACAUGUCAGCUUGAUUCUAGAAGUGUGUUUACCUGGAGGACUUACCCACAACUUUAACCUUGAUGCUUGCAUGUGCCUCUCCAGCUUCGUUUUUCAGAUUGAUGUGGUAAACACCAGAGUCAUCUCUUUCAGCUAUAUCAAUGACCAGAGUGCUGCUAUCAGGAAAAACUAGGUGAAUGCAGAAAAUUGCAUCCCGCUGAAAUGACCCAGCAAGGAAUGCACAAAAUCUGCAGACUCACACCUCAAACAUCUAUCAGCUACCUCAGUUCAUCCAUGUGAUAUAAGCCACACCCAUUUACAUCUGAGGUCACAACUACUCAUCAGAUUUUGAAUAAUCCUCUUUCUACUGCUUCACAACAGUUCGCAAGCCACAACACUUCCAGCAUUAAUUCUUCUUCAACAAACCAGAAGACUCGUUAGGAUCCAUAAUAACUGCCAGUGUAGAGGAGCCUCAGUUACUUUCGCUUUGAUCAUUAUCCCUGGGAGAAGAAGCCAACAGCUCCUGGUCACCACAAUAAGAGAUUUCAUUUUUACCUCUUACGAAGAGCUCAGUGGAACAUUUCUCAUCACCGGCUGUCACAUAAUACUCCGAAUCAUCUGUCAUCUGACAGUUAUUGAUAAACAGGAUUCUCUGGCAUCCUUUGUGUUCAAAGAUGUAUCUGUUUUGAAU
rnacentral:lncRNA from 1 species